rnacentral:rRNA from 1 species
AAGGAUGGGUCUGCGGCCUAUCAGGGUAGUAGUGGGUGUAAUGUACCUACUAGCCUACGACGGGUACGGGUUGUGAGAGCAAGAGCCCGGAGAUGGAUUCUGAGACACGAAUCCAGGCCCUACGGGGUGCAGCAGGCGCGAAAACUUUACAAUGCUGGCAACAGCGAUAUGGGGACCUCGAGUGCCAGGAUACAAUCCUGGCUGUCGUAAUGCCUAAAAAGCAUUGCAUAGCAAGGGCCGGGCAAGACCGGUGCCAGCCGCCGCGGUAACACCGGCGGCUCGAGUGGUAACCGCUAUUAUUGGGUCUAAAGGGUCUGUAGCCGGCUGACUAAGUCUCUUGGGAAAUCUGGCAGCUCAACUGUCAGGCUUUCAGGAGAUACUGAUCGGCUCGAGACCGGGAGAGGUGAGAGGUACCUCAGGGGUAGGGGUGAAAUCUUGUAAUCCUUGAGGGACCACCAGUGGCGAAGGCGUCUCACCAGAACGGAUCUGACGGCAAGGGACGAAAGCUAGAGGCACGAACCGGAUUAGAUACCCGGGUAGUCCUAGCCGUAAACGAUACUCGCUAGGUGUCGGCCACGGUGCGACCGUGGUCGGUGCCGUAGGGAAGCCGUGAAGCGAGCCACCUGGGAAGUACGGCCGCAAGGCUGAAACUUAAAGGAAUUGGCGGGGGAGCACUACAACGGGUGGAGCUUGCGGUUUAAUUGGAUUCAACGCCGGAAAUCUCACCGGGACCGGCAGCGAUAUGAAGGCCAGGCUGAAGACCUUGCCGGAUUAGCUGAGAGGUGGUGCAUGGCCGUCGUCAGUUCGUACUGUGAAGCAUCCUGUUAAGUCAGGCAACGAGCGAGACCCACGCCCACAGUUGCCAGCGUACUCUCAGGAGUGACGGGUACACUGUGGGGACCGCCGCUGCUAAAGCGGAGGAAGGAAUGGGCAACGGUAGGUCAGUAUGCCCCGAAUAUCCCGGGCUACACGCGAGCUACAAUGGUUGGUACAUGGGUAUCUACCCCGAAAGGGGAUGGAAAUCUCCUAACGCCAAUCUUAGUUCGGAUCGAGGGCUGCAACUCGCCCUCGUGAAGCUGGAAUCCGUAGUAAUCGCACAUCAACAGUGUGCGGUGAAUACGUCCCUGCUCCUUGCUCACACCGCCCGUCAAACCACUCGAGUAGGGUCUGAAUGAGGGCGCGUCUCAUUGACGCGUCCGAAUUCAAGCUUUGCAA